rnacentral:tRNA from 1 species
GCCCGUGUGGCGCAGAGGUAGCGCACCAUCUUGGUAAGAUGGGGGUCAUGGGUUCAAUUCCCAUCACGGGCUCCA